rnacentral:pre_miRNA from 1 species
AAUAACUAUAGUUUUACACUAUUCACGUUCAAUGUUUGACCGUUCGUUUUAUUUAAAAAAAAUUAUGAUUAGUAUUUUUAUUGCUAUUAGAUGAUAAAACAUGAAUAGUACUUUAUGUGUGACUAAAUAUUUUCAAAUUUUUCAAAUAAGACGGACGGUCAAACGUUGGGCACGGAUAUUCACGACUGCAUUUAUU